CGUGACGUAAAUCUAUUUUCAAUUAUAAAUAGGUGUAGCAAUCACAACAGAAUGAGUAAGCAUAUCUUGCAAUUCUUUUCUUUUGAAAAAUACUGAUUAAAGUUCUGAACUAUUCUUAAAAAUAAUAUAUAGUACCAAAAAAGAACCACGGUGCUUUUUUAUUAUUAAAAAGUAAUGUGUAAUCUUUACUAAAAAGUAUACAAUUAAGAAAGAGAAUAACUAAAAAUCUGCCGAAAUGGAGAAGUCUUUUUAACAAUGCAAUUAACAAAACGUGAAGAAUAUUAUUUUUCUAUAUUAACUAGUAUUAUAAUAUUUAAAGAAAAUGAAAAAAAUCAACUACAUUUUAUAGACUAUUUCCUCUUUCUAGGUAUUAUAAGUAAAAUGAUGCAUUUAAUUAAUCGUAGAAAUUGUAAGAAUGCCAAUAACUUCAUGCAGAAUAUAUUUUAUGCACUUAUGGUCUUUCGUCCCUUACAUACUAAACAUUUUGCACACAUUAUUUCAUUGAUCCUUGUUUUUAAAUUAAAUUUUAAUAAGCCUUAAACUCUCACAAAAUACAUUUUCUAUGUUAUUUCCUACUUAAUACAUAGAUUUUAUUUCUUAUUCAUAGUAGUUGUUCAGAUAUCCUUUGCAUUACCUGAAGAAAACAACAUAGAAUAAAAUAGCAAACAGGUAAAAAACAAAUUAUACAAAGCAUGUGCUAGGAGUUGACCAUGUAAGACUAGCCUGAAAACUUGGGAGCAGUCAUUUGAUAUGAGAUUGUUUAUAAAAGUCUUAGUGGCACAGUGUUGAUUUUCUCUAGAAUUUUGGAGUGGAUAAAUUAAUAUGACAUUGUGUCUUUUUUAUUUUCUGGCACUGAAUUUUACCAUAUUCAUGUAUUGCCAAAUCUAGACAAGUAAAAUAUUCUUUACAGUUUUCUUUUUCAUCACCGAGAGCAAAUUCCUUGCAAAAUCUAAUUGCUUUUAAUUCUAAACACAAUUGAUUCUCAUUAUUUAUGGCUGUUAUGUUUAAUUAAGUUGCCAUGAACCCUAAAUUAGCAAAUACAGAACAAUUGUCCCUAGAGGAAAUACAAGGUUAGGUUCCUGUGAGUCUCUGGUCACAACAUCUUCACCAACCAGUCAAUAAAUAUCUUUGUUUUAUGUAUGUUUAUAUUUAAAGACCUCUUUUUAAAUGUGUAUUAUUGAGUCAUUAAUAUGUAACUCACGCCCAGCAGCAUUAGAACUCAUGCCUGAAUGAAGCUCAUUUUGUGUGUAUUUUCUCCAGAAAGCUCACUGCAGCCUUCUUGUGCUUAGGGAUGCUAGACAGCCCUUUUGCACUAUGCUUUGGGCCAUUUUAAGCACCAAAAUCACUAACAAAAAGCACACAAAUUUGACAAAUAUGGUGCUAAAUAGACCACAAAAAUCACAUUUGCUUACCUUAUGAGUGCUGAAACAAGAAGACAGACUGCCCCAGUUCAGUCUCUGUGGGAAAUGUUUAUGCCUGGCGACCGAAAUUUUUUGCUACUCUUUGCACAUCUGAGAAUGAUUAUGAAAGCAUUGUGAGUACGAAUUUUGGUGUUACAAAUAAAUGUUAUCAAAUAGGCAAAUUUGCAAAUAGAGAACUGCAGAAAUGAGGGUCAAUUGCAACUUUUGAAUCUGUCUGUUUCUCUCCAUUCUCCCCCAAGUAGCAUAGUUUGCAUUAGCUUAAUAACUAGUGAAUCAUCCUCCCCAUCCACCCAUCACAAGUCUCCGGACUCUCCCAAAAUGACUCUUUAAAACAUAGAUAUAGUCCUGCAACCCUUCGUUUAAAUCAAAUUAAUGGCUUUCCACUUUAAAUUAUGGGGAAAGGCACACACAGCUUAAAGACCCUACCUGGACUGGCUCUCCAAACCUCUCUCACCACAUCACCCUUCUUUUAUUCUCUUCUUGUUACAAUCAUUCCUUGUAUGGGAUAUGCCCUCCACCUAGAUACCUGGUCCUCCUCCCUCCUCUUAGCUAACUCCUCCUCAUCCCACAGAUUUUACCUUGGAUGACCUUCCUUUAUCAGGGAAGCCUUCUCUGACCUUUGCAUAAGACAGAUCCUCUGGUCAUGAGCUCACUAAACUGUCAAGAGAUUGCUACAUUUCAGCACCACCAACAGUAGCCUUGAACAUCUGCUUGUGUGAUUAUGUAACCAAUGUCUUCUCUUUCCUAGUCUGUCGAUUUCAGGAGGUUAAGACAGGAAGCUCAUCUCGUUUUACUCCCUUUUAUAUUGCCAGACUGGCACAGUGCCUGGUCCCCAGUACAUGAUUAAUAGGUAUUUUUGUGCAUAAAAGAAGACAGGGAGGGAAGGAAGAGAAUUGAAGAAGGCAAUCGAACUAAACUAGGACUUGAGAAUGGCAUUUUAAGAACAGGUGAAGGAACAAGACAAGAACAAUGAAACGAGACAGAGGGAGAUUUUGUCAGAAGCUGAGCCCUGACUUCAGGACACAUGAGCUCGUAGCUUCGAAAUGUCUCUGACUGCAUCUCGGCUGCUUCCCUUCACCCCUGAUCUCCUCACACUCAUCCACCUAGAUCCUGAAACUGGAGGGACCUGCACUACUUCGUAGUCUGUUUGUUCUGCUUAUCCGGGUGAAGAUGGAACUGGACAAAAGAAUACCUAGGGGUGGACCACUUGGUGCCACACUUCUUCUUCUGUGUCUCCAUCAUAUAGCAAUGGCUGUGACUCAUCCCGAUGAUUGGGAUCAAUUACGCCUGCAACAGUGCCCUUUUUUGUUUCUUCAUCCACUGGUCUACAGACUUGCAGAGCCCAGGAUGAACUAAUAGCAACCAUGGCUUUACAUUUAGUGAGAAUUAGGUGGAACACAGGCCUUCAAGAAGAGUCUUCCCACAAAGAAGAAGAACAUCUAGACACACAGAGCCUAAAUAUUCAUGCAGAACUUCACCAGCACAAACACCCUGCUGGAAUUGGUGGUCCAGUGUUAAAAGAUAUUUCUUUGCAUUGUUCUCAUGAUGGAAUAUUGAGGGUGGAGGCUCUCUAUUUUCUACAAUGGAGCAUCAUUGGCACGAAGGGAUUCCUAUGGCAAAACACAUACUUAAGGAAUCUGUAAAUAAGCAAAUAUUUAUCAAAUGCUUACUGACAUGAUUUUUGUCCUGAAGGAGCAUAAUUUAGUUGGGCUGACAAAAAUAACAAGGAACAGAGCACAAUGAAAAGCACGCUGUGAAAUGCUGGCACAACACCUACCAUGAAAUUUGCAGCUGCUCAAGGGAGAGACGAAGAGGAUCAGGUUGUUACAGAAAUGAGACUUGGACUGUCUGUGAAAAGAUCUAUAUGAUUCUGGUAAGGAAGACAGGAAAGUAAAAUACUUCAAACAAGGGAAAUACAGGGCAGAGGAAGCUGAACUGACCAUGUGUCAGGAUUGUAUUAGGGAAUAAUGACUAGAUCAUAGGACACUGUAACAACCUUUUUAAAAUACAUUUUAGAAAAUGUGUAAGCAACUUAAAAAAUUGUGAUAGGAUUAAUAAUAUGCUUUUGCCCCCAGACUGAAUGGGUGUAAGAACUUUAAAUCUUUAGUAUAACAGUUUGUAAGAACAACGAUGUCAGGAA
rnacentral:lncRNA from 10 species